rnacentral:rRNA from 1 species
AAUCAACGCUGGCGGCGUGCCUCAGACAUGCAAGUCGAACGUGAAAGUUCCUUCGGGGAUGAGUAAAGUGGCGCACGGGUGAGUAACACGUGGGUAAUUUGCCUUCGGGUGGGGAAUACCAACCGGAAACGGUUGUUAAUACCGCAUGAUGCAGCGGCUCCGAUUGGAGACAGUUGUUAAAGCGGGGGAGCGGAGCAAUCCGUCCUCGCGCCUGAAGAGAAGCCCGCGGCGGAUUAGGUAGUUGGGAGGUAAUGGCUCACCAAGCCUGCGAUCCGUAACCGACCUGAGGAGGGUGGUCGGUCACACUGACACUGACAUACGGGUCAGACUCCUACGGGAGGCAGCAGUCGGGAAUUUUGGGCAAUGGGCGCAAGCCUGACCCAGCAACGCCGCGUGAAGGAUGAAGCAUUUCGGUGUGUAAAACUUCGCAAANAACAGAAGAAUAAGUGAAUGCAAAUACCGUUCAAUGAUGACGGUACU